AAUCAGGGAUACACAGAGAAACACUGUCUUUUAAAAAAAACUUUAAAAAAAAAAAAUGAGAAGGUAAGAUGUGAACUUGAGGAACUAGGCAAGGGCAGGGAUACAGUUUGGUGGUAGAGCACUUACUUAGCAUGUGCAAGGCCCUAGGUUCGAUCCCUUGGACCACCAAAACAACAACAAAAUCCCACAGACUGAAGUCCAUCUACCUGUGGAAGUGGGAGGGCAUAGGCUUGGUGACUUCACAGAAAGAACAGUGUAGCGAGCACAUACCCCGGUGACGGGGGAGGAAUAAUCACUCUUGAUUCAGACUGGGUUACCACUCAUUUAUUCACACAGUAAGAUUACAAGCAUUCUUCAUCCUGUCUUCCAAACAGAAGCAGGAGUACCUCUCCAGGUGUACAGGUCCGGACUCGCCACGUCUGUUCCUCUGGAUCUUGGGUCAGCUUUCCUCAGGUCAGCCACGUCUGCACUGGGGACAGGAACUCACGUCUCUGGCUGGCGGAGGAGAGUCGUCUCACGCGAGGGCCUGACGAGCUCGGCCCUGCUCUGUCACCUACACCUCCAGCUUAGAUGAUUGGCCAUUGCUACCUUCCCUCCCAGACUGCAGAAGCCGUAAAUGUCCCUGAAAUGACAGCUGGAUCGCAUCUCUCUGUAGAGACACUCCAAACAAACAUAGCUAUGGAGAGAGAUGAACUGGAAUCCGACCCGACAUUUAAGGCAGCCAAGAAGACAGCUGCAAAAUGAAGGCAGAGAUGCCACGUGUUAAUCCUUUUAGCUAUUCAUUGGGAAGCAAAGGCCUGAGUGAAAACUUCAUGGUUUUUAGCCGAAGCGGCCUCUCCCCCUUUGUUGCAGUUAGUCCAGAUGUUUGCACACAACCCCGUGAAUAUGCUGAAAACCACUGAGCUGUAGAUGAAUAAUGAAGCCUUUCUAUUGUGU